rnacentral:rRNA from 1 species
ACGGAGGGUGCGAGCGUUGUCCGGAAUCACUGGGCGUAAAGGGCGCGUAGGUGGCGCGGGCAGUCAACGGUGAAAGUUCGGGGCUCAACCCUGAAUCGGCCGUCGAUACUCCCGGGCUUGAGCACUGUAGAGGCUAAUGGAAUUCCGGGUGUAGCGGUGGAAUGCGUAGAGAUCCGGAAGAACACCGGUGGCGAAGGCGGCCUGCUGGGCAGUGGCUGACGCUGAGGCGCGACAGCGUGGGGAGCAAACGGGA